UCAAAAUGGUAUCUACGUAAUUUUCAAUCAAUUUCAUCUCCUCUCAAACCAUAUCUACUCAUCAGUGUAUUCCCUAAAUCACGCGUCUGUCUCCUUCAAUUUCGACUUCUUUGUUUUGGAAAUCGCUUCAAAUUUAAAAUACAUUAAUCCUUUAUCAAACGGAAACCUUUAAUUCUACCUUGUGGUUCAAUGAUUUACCGGUCAUCUCUACCGUGCAGAUGAUCAACUGUGAUUUUUACUUCAACGCACCUUAUAAGGUCGCUUACACUGUCUUCCUUCGUUGAUCCUUUAUUUGAUGUUGCAGUGAAAAAGACUAAGCCUAAUAUUAUCAAGCGACCCCCUUCCUUGGAUUUCAGUUAUAUCAGGUUUGUAGAGAAUCGUGUUUUUUUCAUGACAGAUGUCGAUGGCCAAGAAAAAAAAGAGUUUUUGAUGUUCAUAUGAGAAAACAUCAUUUGAUAGGAACCAUUGUAUUUUGAGAAUGAAUCGGUAACCCAUAACCCAAAUCUUCAUCUUUUGUUAUCGUUUUUCUGUAAUCCUUUUAAUUCUUCAUGUUUAUUCAGAUUUUGGUUGGGAUGAACAAAUAUUUAAAAGAUUUAACUCUUCAUGUGUAUUCAGAUUUUGGCUGGGAUGAACAAAUAUUUAAAAGAUUUUUCGGGACAACUAUAAGUUUCAUAAUUCAUAUACAAUGGUUUUUGCUUCUUCAUAAGGGUAUUCGACUUUUUAGGAUAUGGUCUAAAUUGAGUUCUUUGUUUGUGGUUAUUGGAAUUUUAAGGUUUUCUCUAGAUUUCGUUUUUUGUUGGUUGUAUAUAGUUAGAUUGUUUUAGUUUUUAAGGCCAAUGAAAUAGUGAGAUGCUAAUAAUAGGGGAAUUUAGUUAUGUUUGGUGGUAAAUUGGUUGUUUAAUAACAUUACUUACUUUAUUAGCGCGGAUACCUUUUAAUUGAAAUGCUCAUCUGAACUUGUAAUCACCACAGGAGGAGGUUAAUGCGAUGGAGAUGGAAAAGUGGUUACUUAAUAACUUGUGAAGUUAAAAUGUUUUGGGUAUUUUGAUUUUUUGAAAUAGAUUUAUGAUCUAUUUUUUAUUAUAACAAAUAUGUUCCAUCGCCUCCUCAUCCUAUUUUUCCAUAUAUGUAUAAAAUCUGACAGGUUGUUCUCAAAAUUUGGAUAUGGUGAUUUUCAGUCUCAUUGUGUUGCUUUUAGUUUUGGAUUAAAAAUAAUAAUUUCAAGAUUUAUCAACUAAAAGGAAAGUAAUGUCUAUUUUUUUGGUUUAAUACGUACUUUUAUUAUGCAGAUAUUUAGUUGAACAAAGAUGCAAAAACUUGUUUUAUGUUUAUUCCUUUGGUGGCUCACUGUGUAUUUAUUUGCUGCCAGGUUGAUCUUUUUAUACCAGCAAAAGUUCACAGUUGACAGUUGUAAUCUGUUCCAGAGCUGAAUUUUUUUUGAUGUUAUAGGUAUGAUUCAGUUACUAUGCUUUUCUCCAAAGACUAAAAAUCUCAUCUCAAAAUAUCGUAUUCUCGAUCGUUGAACUUUAAAAUAUUUAUGAAUGAUUGAUAUAUUAAUCAAGUUUUCACCAUUUUUUCCUUUUGUUGAACUUAUUUUUUGAUCUUUUGUCAACUUACAGUGGGUACUACAUUAGUAACAAUGAAUGGGCUUUGAUCGACUAAGAUACAAAAAGUGUAUUUUUAAAGGUGGUGUCGUGGAGCCUUGUCAUGUUUCUUUUCAUUAAAGUUUUAAAAUCUUAGCAAUUCAGGAGGAUUGGAUUCUUUUUCUACUUUUGAGAAAAAUGGUCCACUAAUUAUUUUUUAACUUGGUAUACAAGACAUUAUUAAAUAAAUUUUCGAUCUUUAUGCAAGUGGGUUCACAUACUAAGGAAGUAAUUCAAGGAAGUAAUUACAAAUGUAAGUAAGAUCCAUAAUGGUUGAGUUUUCACUUAAUUUAUUAAGUUUUUUUUUCUUCCUAAUCAAGUUCUAUUUUUACAACUAAUAGCAUCCUACUUCCACUUAUAGCAUCCUACUUUAAAAUAAUGUUUUUGUAACCUUCCAAGAGGUAUCAUGCAACCCUACCUCCUUGAAGCCGACUAUGUAUGACCUGAAGUAAGCAGCACUGUGGGGUGCUCUUGAUGUAGAGUUGUUCUAAUUGGUGUAUAUUUGUUUUGAAUUUUAGGUUCAUAGAUUGUAAUUUGUUUGUUCAUUAACUGUUGGAUAUUUUUUAAAUAUUUUGUUUAAUACCAAACUUACUUUAAUUUCUUAACAAAUAAACUAAAUAUUUAAUAAAUGUUAUAUUGCCUUGCUAUAACCCUAUAAUAACAUUGUGCUUUGAAAGUACAUUGCUAUAAUUGAUGUGAAUUGUUCCUCCUAUUUCUUGCUACAAAACAAAAUAUAAGUUGGUAUUUUUUUUUGUAAAAAAAGUUAUAUUUCAUAAGAUAACCUUAAAAUAACAAUGUACUUUAGAAGUACAUUGCUAUAAAUGAAUUGAAUGGUUGCUUUUACAAUUUUUUUUGAAUAAUAUUAUUAUUUACUUCACUUAUUGUGGUUGUUUUAUUUUUAUAAUCAAUUUAACAUAUCAUUAAAUAAUAUUGUUAUUAUUUUUCAUUAAUUCACAAAUAAAAACUAUCUCAUAUAUCUUGAAAAAUAAUUUUACAUAUUUAUUUGAAUCAAUGAUUAUAAUUUUACAUUAAAAAAACAUAAAUAUCUUAGUUAAUAAUUUAUUGAAAAUAUUUUAUUAAUAUUUAUGAUUUUUUACUAUAAAAAUUUAUUUAUUUUUGUAACCGUGGUUCCCACGGGUUAUAACCUAGUUCCUAAUAUAGUCUUAAUGAGAUAGUUAAAAAAAUAUGGAAUGACAACACUUGUCAUAAUUUAAUUGGAUAGGAACAGUUGUA